GGGAGGUUGCUCAGUGGUAGAGCACUUGCCUAGGAUGUGUGAGGUCCUGGGUUCCAUCCCCAGCACCAUCCA
rnacentral:tRNA from 1 species